UACGAAGGGGGCUAGCGUUGUUCGGAAUUACUGGGCGUAAAGGGCGCGUAGGCGGCCAACUAAGUCAGACGUGAAAUCCCUCGGCUCAACCGGGGGAACUGCGUCUGAUACUGGAUGGCUUGAAUUCGGGAGAGGGAUGCGGAAUUCCAGGUGUAGCGGUGAAAUGCGUAGAUAUCUGGAGGAACACCGGUGGCGAAGGCGGCAUCCUGGACCGAGAUUGACGCUGAUGCGCGAAAGCCAGGGGAGCAAACGGGG
rnacentral:rRNA from 1 species